GAUGAACGCUGGCGGCGUGCCUAAUACAUGCAAGUCGAGCGAACAGAUGAGGAGCUUGCUCCUCUGACGUUAGCGGCGGACGGGUGAGUAACACGUGGAUAACCUACCUAUAAGACUGGGAUAACUUCGGGAAACCGGAGCUAAUACCGGAUAAUAUAUUGAACCGCAUGGUUCAAUAGUGAAAGACGGUUUUGCUGUCACUUAUAGAUGGAUCCGCGCCGCAUUAGCUAGUUGGUAAGGUAACGGCUUACCAAGGCAACGAUGCGUAGCCGACCUGAGAGGGGGAUCGGCCACACUGGGACUGAGACACGGUCCAGACGCCUACGGGAGGCAGCAGUAGGGAAUCUUCCGCAAUGGGCGAAAGCCUGACGGAGCAACGCCGCGUGAGUGAUGAAGGUCUUCGGAUCGUAAAACUCUGUUAUUAGGGAAGAACAAAUGUGUAAGUAACUAUGCACGUCUUGACGGUACCUAAUCAGAAAGCCACGGCUAACUACGUG
rnacentral:rRNA from 1 species